CCACGGAUUGCUAAGGAAACAGAUUCCUAAUUUCCAAGCUGAGCUACUGAAUCAGAAUAUCUGUGAGUGAAGUCCAGGAAUCUGCAUUUUUAACUGUAUCUCUCACUCC
rnacentral:miRNA from 1 species